GACGAACGCUGGCGGCGUGCCUAAUACAUGCAAGUUGAGCGAUGAAGAUUGGUGCUUGCACCAAUUUGAAGAGCAGCGAACGGGUGAGUAACGCGUGGGGAAUCUGCCUUUGAGCGGGGGACAACAUUUGGAAACGAAUGCUAAUACCGCAUAACAACUUUAAACAUAAGUUUUAAGUUUGAAAGAUGCAAUUGCAUCACUCAAAGAUGAUCCCGCGUUGUAUUAGCUAGUUGGUGAGGUAAAGGCCCACCAAGGCGAUGAUACAUAGCCGACCUGAGAGGGUGAUCGGCCACAUUGGGACUGAGACACGGCCCAAACUCCUACGGGAGGCAGCAGUAGGGAAUCUUCGGCAAUGGACGAAAGCCUGGCCGAGCAACGCCGCGUGAGUGAAGAAGGUUUUCGGAUCGUAAAACUCUGUUGGUAGAGAAGAACGUUGGUGAGAGUGGAAAGCUCAUCAAGUGACGGUAACUACCCAGAAAGGGACGGCUAACUACGUG
rnacentral:rRNA from 1 species